CUAUUACACUUAUAAUCAACCUUCUUCAAUAUAGGAGGUGACAUCAAUAAUUUCUUUAAUCUUUGCAUUGCCUGAAUAUGCCUUUCUUCCCAUUUAAAUCGGUAACCCUUGCGUAACAGUUCAUAUAAUGGAUCCGCUAUGUGAGCAAAAUGAAGGAUCCAGAUUCGAUAAAAUACACAUGCAUCCAAAAACCUGCGAACCUCUGUUAAAGAAUCACAAUCCUCUUUCAUCCUUCCAAUUGCAUCAACUUUAAUCGAAUCUGGUUUCCUUCCGUAAGACCCACAUAAAUGUCCAACAAUCACAACCUCUCGUACUCCAAAUACGGACUUCAUAUCCGAUAAUGUAAGAUGAACUUCUCCAAGCCGAGUUAAAAUCUUUUUACAAUCUUGUAUAUGAUCAACAACAUAUUUGCGACACCCCCUCGUAUCUAAAGUUUCAUCCUUGUCUCCUUUUCUGCACCCUUUUAUAUGAACAUCAUCCAGAAAAGGCAUAGUCUUUUCCGGAAUAAAAUCUCUCAAUACCUUAUUCAUCCCAUUUAUCAUAUGCGCAACUGAGUUGGUCACGCUUUGAGGAAGAGUGUACAUUCUUACCAAUCCAAGUGGUGUCCUCAUUGUUGUCAUAUCUCUACUUCCUUCGGUAAGUUGAAAUUGAUCAUAACCUGAAUACAAGUCACCCAUUGAAUAGAUCGCCCUUCUAGCAAACGCCUCAGCAAAUUCAUCCAUAAUAGGCCCAAUUCCUGCAUUUCAGACAGUUACUGCAUUCACCGGUUGCAUAUCUUGAAUAAACUGUAGUGACCCAUUCUUCUUAGGUACCGUAAACCAUCGACUAGAAUACGGCGCAAAUGAAGGUUUCAAUAUUUUCAUCUUUAUCUUUUCUUUUAAUAGCUCAAUCAAUUUAGAUAAAUGUACCCUCGGUACUGGAAUCGGUCUUAGAUUCCAAGGUACAUGCGGUACAGUGAAGAUAACCAUAGGUGUUACAAUAAUUAGAUCCACACACCCAAUUUCAUAAAAUUCGAAGGCAAACGAUCUACCUUGUUUAGCCAACAUCUUUUUGAACCAAGUAAUUUUCUUUGGCAAUAAAGUACCAUCAGAACCAAUCUUCAAUUCUUCAAAAGUCUCUUUAGUAAACUGAUGUCCAAUACUCAUUGGAUCUCUUAAACUUGCUUCUUUUGAUGCUUCUCCCAUUUGUUCUUUCGAAUCUUCUGGUAAUGGUCCGGCAACAGACUUUACCUUCUUAUCUGCCGUUUUAUAUCUCGUCUCUACUGUGACUUCUGGUGCUUGAAAAGAUUCAAGCAUGGUAUAAACCUCUCUUGAAUGAAUCUCAACAAUCUUAUCAUUAUCCCCUAAUCCAAUAGAUGUAAUCAAUUCUAAUGAAUCUUCCAAUCCAUUUUCUUCAUAAACACCUAAAAUCCUCUCAUCAUCUUGCAAUGUACCUAACUUGCAUAAUUGUCCUUCAAUAUCAUAUAAUCUUUUUCUUUCUUUUCUUUUAAAAUCAUCAACUUUCUUAUACAUAAUAUUUCCAUUCUCCAAUAUACCAAUAAAACUCGCAUCAAAGGCACCUUCAUUUCGUGAGAGUAUCUCCUCUUUUAUACCUCCAUAAUCUCGCUUUACAGUGGUACUUCCCCAAAAUCCUUAAAUCCUUCAACAAUCUUUGGCAAUGGUUUCUCCUUCAACCUAUCUCGAUUCCGUUCAUGGUUAGGAGGUACUGUUAGAAAUUGUACAGCUUUCCUUUCAUCUUCGCUCCGUACCCUUGCAUUAGCAGAACCAUCGUCAAGUACUUUUGUUUCCAUCCGUGUUGUCGUAAUAUAAGGUUGUCCUAAAAUCAAUGGAUAAGACGUUGUAUCUUGAACAAAGAAAUGUUGCUCUAUCGCAACAUCCCCAAUCCGAAUUUUGAUAUCUGGACAAGCUCCAUAUAAUUUGCCUUGUGUGUUAUUAGCCGCUCGAAUUGCCCAUCCAUGUUCCAUAUCAAUUGGCCAUUUUUACUUCUUAUAAAGAUCUUUAGACAUGAGAUUUAUUUCAGAACCAUGGUCGACUAAAGCAACUAUUGGUUCUUCUAUAUCUCCUACUUUCACCAAUACCUCAGUAGUUGCCCUUGCCCAAGGUUUCCGAGUAUAAUGGCUCAAAGUUUCCAUUUCCUUAUCACUAGAAUCUUUGAAACGUACUCGUUGAUUAUACCCAUUCUUUUCAUUUGUUGGUUGCUUGUAACCAAUAUCAACCUCUUCUUCAUCUCUAUAUAUUCUUCCAUCAAUAGCAUGACUCAUUCCAGUUUCGCCCAUUAAUUGCUUCUUUCGCUUAAUGCUGCCAAUGAUAACAUCAUGAAACUCCUUCUUUGCAAUUUUCAAGACUUCUUUCAAUGUGAAUUCCACCUUAGCGUUUAAUAUACGUUCUUCCAACACCCCUUUCAAAUUUGUUGCCGCUUCAAUGUCAAAAAGUAACUUAUAAGCAAUUGAUUUGUCCUUAUCUUUUAUUUUCCUUGUUUUUUCUUCCAAUAAUGCUGAAGUAUCCUUUACAGGCAAUUCUUGUGAAGCUGCCUCUCGAGCCUUCUCUCCUCGAGUUUGCCUCUUAAAAGAAUUUCCUUCUCUAGUAUCAUCAAAAUUUUCUCAUCUCUUUUCUUCCAUCAAAGCUUCAUGUUGGCACUUAGCAAUAUAUGGAUGAAUUGAAAGAGACUCAACAGGAUCCUCCCAACCUAUUCUACCUCGUAUUGUAGUUGCAGUCCUCAAUAAACGCUUCUCGAGGUAAUUUCCCUUCUUGCAUUGUAGAAACGACAGAAGCCCAAAACUCACUAGUUUUCAUUGUCGUAUUACGUGCUUUCUUGCUCGAGAACGCGCCGAGCGUCUGGCUGUAGAAGGUAGUAUGGAGAUUUGCCGAUAGUCAAGCAGUCUAUCAGUUUUUGACUGCUGGAAUAUAAACGACUACAACAAUGUACCGUAAAUCUAUACCGAUGCUCUUCGACUGCUUGUCGAAGUCUUUUUUUUUUUUUUUUUUUUUGCCCCAGCCGAUAGGUCUCUAGACGUUACAGAGAACCCUGAAUAAUCCAAACUGUUAAUCUUCAAUACCCCUUUGUACUUACGAUCUUGUAUCCACUGACUGUCGUGUUAGAUUAACCCAAUAAAUUUCAUUCACUCCGCAUAUUCAAUCCUAUAGACACCCCUUUAAUCUUUCAAUCACAGACGUAACUCGAUUUUACAAAACAGUCAAGAGUAUUCAAAUCCACUUCAUUUAAAAAUCUCGAUUCACCAUUACAACACUGACUUCAGCAGUGAUUGCCUCAGUCUUCCCAAAACUCUACGAAGAAGAAAAAUCCAAAUUCUAUGUCUUUCCUUCCCCGACCCAAAGCAUGAAGCUCCUCUCUCUAAUUCCCUUGAUCUUCAAAAUACCUCCAAUGAAAACCGAACUGGUAACCUUGCAAAAGCUUGAAAACUCGCUCCCCCCCCGAUUCCCCUGAAAAAAAAACCCCCCCCCUCAAAACUAUAUCCCCCCUAACCUUAUCCUCUGAAUUUCUUCAAUCUUCCAUCUUAGAUCCGGAAUUGGCUCCCACCUCAAGCUUGGAUCCGAAAUUGGCUCUUGUCGUCAAGCUUUCUCCUCCGUUUUUACCUUUAAGAAAUCCAUUUACCGAAAACAACGUUCCCUGAAACGGCACAGAGAACAGGACAGCCUGAAACAGAAUCGAACCGCGUAAUCGGAACCACAUUGAGUCGCCCGACCAAUUCAGGUCCUAUAUUGGAAAAGAUGCCCGUAGUAACCUGGAUGUUCCCGUAAUUGGGUCAAAUUGGUCCUCGCGUCAGAUUGGCUAAGACCCGUAGUAAGACCUGGAUUUCCCGUAAUUAGAGCACAUUGAGUCGCCCGACCAAUUCAGGUCUCAUAUUGGAUAAGAGGACCCGGAUUGGAUUACCGAAAUUGGAUCCAAUUGGCUCCUCGAACCCGUCGUGUGAAUUGGUCCUUCUCUUCCUACUGACUCCCGUUAUUGAAAUCGAACGGAGCAUUUUAGUAUGCCCCGGCUGACUCUAACGGAGUGACUGAACCUAACCACUAAGUAUUUGUACAGGAGUUGGUCGAUGCUCCCAAUAUUCGAGGUAACUGAAUAUUAAUAAAAUUCCCCUUUCUUUUUAUUUUCACUGUAUACUCGUGUUACAACACGACAUCUACUCCCUCUGAACCUGUGCAUCCUCCGGUAUGCACCAAUUUACCCAAUUGCUGUUUGAUUCAGAAUAUAUCCCCUACGUAUUUCUCCAUAUCGUCUUCGUCACCUUCAUUAUCCAUAUCACUUUCAUCUUCUUGCUGCCGAAUCUCUGUACCUUCAUUAAGGUCUUUCAUAUUCAUCUCCGCAUGUCUUCGUUUAAAUAUUUUUACUCGCUUCCCUGUAAUUCGUAUUUUCAAUUUUGUACCAUCUAACUCCCGUAAUGAGUAAGUCGCAUUAUCAUGAACAGUUGUUACAACAUAUGGUCCAAACCAACGUUUUCAAAAUUUCCGCAAAGUACUAUGUUGAUUAUUCAGACUAUUGUCAUAAACAAGUACCCAGUCAUCUUCCUCGAUUGCUUUUGGUCUCAAUCGAUGUUGCUUAUCGAAUCGCGCCUUGUUUUGUAACCUUGCUCUUUUUAACCUUUCCAAUGCUAUCUGGACAUCUUCCGUUCUUUGCUCCAAUUGUCGAAUCCUAAUAGCCAGAAGUUCUUCUCUUGUCAAUCCAUCUUCCCAUGGUAGCAUACUCCAAGUAAGUACAUUUUCUUCAAUCGGCAUAAUUGGUUUUUGACCUCUCAUAAGUUCUAUUGGCAUAUAUCCUGUCACCGAACUAUGUGUUGUUCGAUCAGCCCAUAAUGCAAAUGACAAAAGCCGUGGCCACUCUUUAACCUUCCCAUUACAAGCUUUAAUCAAUGCUUUCACAAUUGGCGAGUGACCACGUUCGCUUUUUGCAUUCCCUUCCGGAUUAUAAGCAGUAGUCAGUGAUAGUUUAACUCCACAUCUUUCAAAGAACUAACAAGCUUCUUGUGCAUUUAAUUCUCCACGAUCUGCAGUGAUUUUUCCUACGCAUUUGUAGUGGCAAAUGACAUCUUCAAGCAAAAACCUACAAAUCCCCUCUGUAAAUUUUGUCCUCAAUGCUCUUUCUUCUACUUGAUUAGAUAAAUCUUCACGAGCUAAAACCAAAUAUCUCAUCUGCCAUAAUCCAACCGGCAUAAUAACCAAAUCAACAACCUAUUUAAAAUGAAUAGCCAGAGGAUACGGAGGAUGAAGACCAUCUCGAUGUCAGAUAUUAAAAUACGAUUGACAGAUUUCACAUGACUCUACAAAUGAGAGCACAUCUCGAUACAUAUUUUUCCACCAAUAUCGUUCCUUGAGUUUAGCAAAAGUAGCCCAGAUUCCUCUAUGCCCUGCCCAUAAACUAUCAUGAAACUCCUUUAAUAAUUUUAGUUUUUCUUCCCUUUUGCCUAUCACUCGUUGUGGCAUCCCAAUUCCUUUCUUCAGUCUCUUCCAUAAGAAUCCUUCUCGAAGUAAAAAUCCAUAUGUUUUUUUUCUUAUUUGUUUGAAUUUUUCUGUAGACCAAUUCCCCUGCUUAGACAAGGUAUUCAAAUAAUGACCAAUAUCCAAUAAUUCUCCUUCAUAAGAUUCUUCCAGAAAUAGCUUGUCUUCUCUGUUGAGAUUUGAUAUUGAAUAGAAUUUCAAUCCGACGUCAUCAAUGUCUUCAACCAUUUCGUCCUCCCUCUUGUAUCUUGCCCGAGGUAGCAUGUCUGCUACUAAAUUGUCCUUUCCAGUGAUAUGCUUAAAUUCUGGAUUUAGUGACUUAAUAUAAGCAAUCCAUCUCAACAUUGCAAUAUCUGACGUUGAACAGUUAAUAAUCAUUCCAAGCAAUGGCAAGCAAUCUGUUUCAAUUACUACUACUGCCCCAAUCAAAUAGUCUUUUUCAGCUUUCAUAGCCGAAACGACUCCCCAAAGUUCUCUUUUGACUUGCGAAUAUGCACGCUGAUGAAUACUUAAAACUUUAGCCCCAAAUCGAACUGCAAAUCUACUCCCAUUCGAAUCAUCUUGAUCCACAGCCCAUCCAACGACAAUUGGACUAGCGUCUACAGUAAGAAUCACUGGUCUAUUGCACUUAUAAUCAACCUUCCCCAAUAUUGGAGGUGACAUCAAUAAUUUCUUCAAUCUUUACAUUGCCUGAAUAUGCCUUUCUUUCCAUUCAAAUCGGUAACCUUUGCGUAACAGUUCAUAUAAUGGAUCCGCUAUGUGAACAAAAUGAGGGAUCCAGAUUCGAUAAAAUACACAUGCACCCAAAAACCUGCGAACCUCUGUUAAAGAACCACAAUCCUCUUUCAUCCUUCCAAUUGCAUCAACUUUAGUCGAAUCUGGUUUCUCCGUAAGAUCCGAUAUCNNNNNNNNNNNNNNNNNNNNNNNNNNNNNNNNNNNNNNNNNNNNNNNNNNNNNNNNNNNNNNNNNNNNNNNNNNNNNNNNNNNNNNNNNNNNNNNNNNNNNNNNNNNNNNNNNNNNNNNNNNNNNNNNNNNNNNNNNNNNNNNNNNNNNNNNNNNNNNNNNNNNNNNNNNNNNNNNNNNNNNAACAUCAUCCAGAAAAAGGCAUAGUCUUUUUCGGAAUAAAAUCUCUCAAUACCUUAUUCAUCCCAUUCAUCAUAUGCGCAACUGAGUUGGUCGCGCCUUGAGGAAGAGUGCACAUUCUAACCAAUCCAAGCGGUGUCAUCAUCGUUGUCAUAUCUCUACUUCCUUCGGCAAGUUGAAAUUGAUCAUAACCUGAAUACAAAUCACCCAUUGAAUAGAUCGCCCUUCCAGCAAACGCCUCAGCAAAUUCAUCCACAAUAGGUCCAAUUCCUGCAUUCUUGAUAGUUACAGCAUUCACCGGCUGCAUAUCUUGAAUAAACCGUAGUGACCCAUUCUUCUUAGGUACCGUAAACCAUCGAUUAGAAUACGGUGCAAAUGAAGGUUCUAAUAUUUUCAUCUUUAUCUUUUCUUUCAAUAGUUCCACCAAUUUAGGUAAAUGUGCCCUCGGUACUGGAAUCGGUCUUAGAUUCCAAGGUACAUGCGGUACAGUGAAGAUAACCAUAGGUGUUAUAAUAUUUGGAUCCACACACCCAAUUUCAUGAGAUUCGAAGGCAAACGAUCUACCUUGUUUAGCCAACAUCUUUUAGAACCAAGUAAUUUCCUCCGGCAAUAAAGAACCAUUAGAACCAAUCUUCAAUUCUUCAAAAGUCUCUUUAGUAAACUGAUGUCCAAUACUCAUUGGAUCUCUUAAACUUGCUUCUUUUGAUGCUUCUCCCAUUUGUUCUUUCGAAUCUUCUGGUAAUGGUCCGGCAACAGACUUUACCUUCUUAUCUGCCGUUUUAUAUCUCGUCUCUACUGUGACUUCUGGUGCUUGAAAAGAUUCAAGCAUGGUAUAAACCUCUCUCGAAUGAAUCUCAACAAUCUUAUCAUUAUUCCCUAACCCAAUAGAUGUAAUCAAUUCCAAUGAAUCUUCCAGCCCAUUUUCUUCAUAAACACCCAAAAUCCUCUCAUCAUCUUGCAAUGUACCUAUCUUGCGUAACUGUCCUUCAAUAUCAUAUAAUCUUUUUCUUUCUUUUCUUUUAAAAUCAUCAACUUUCUUAUACUUAAUAUUUCCAUUCUCCAAUAUACCAAUAAAACUUGCAUCAAAGGCACCUUCAUCUCGCGAGAGUACCUCCUCUUUUGUACCUCCAUAAUCUCGCUUUACAGUGGUACCUCCCCAAAAUCCUUAAAUCCUUCAACAAUCUUUGGCAAUGGUUUCUCCCUCAACCUAUCUCGAUUCCGUUUAUGGUUAGGAGGUACUGUUAGAAAUUGUACAGCUUUCCUUUCAUCUUCGCUCCGUACCCUUGCAUAAGCAGAACCAUCGUCAAGUACCUUUGUUUCCAUCCGUGUUGCCGUGAUAUAAGGUUGUUCUAAAAUCAACGGAUAAGACGUUGUAUCUUCAACGAAGAAAUGUUGCUCCGUCGCAACAUCCCCAAUCCGAAUUUUGACAUCUGGACAAGCUCUAUAUAAUUCGCCUCGUGUAUUAUUAGCUGCUCGUAUUGCCCAUCCAUGUUCCAUAUCAAUUGGCCAUUUUUGCUUCUUAUAAAGAUCUUUAGACAUGAGAUUUAUUUCAGAACCAUGGUCCACCAAGGCAACUAUUGGUUCUUCUAUAUCUCCUACCUUCACCAAUACCUCAGUAGUUGCCCUUGCCCAAUGCUUUCGAGUAUAAUGGCUCAAAGUUUCCAUUUCCUUGUCACUAGAAUCUUCGAAAUGUACUCGCUGAUUAUACCCAUUCUUUUCAUUUGUUAGUUGCUUGUAACGAAUAUCAACCUCUUCUUCAUCUCUACAUAAUCUUGCAUCAAUAGCACGACUUAUUCCAGUUUCGCUCAUUAACUGCCUCUUUCGCUUAAUGCUGUCAAUGAUAACAUCAUGAAACUCCUUCUUUGCAAUUCCCAAGACUUCUUUCAAUGUGAAUUCCACCUUAGCGUUUAAUAUACGUUCUUCCAACACCCCUUUCAAAUUUGUUGCCGCUUCAAUGUCAGAAAGUAGCUUAUAAGCAAUUGAUUUGCCCUUAUCUUUUGUCUCCGUUGGUUUUUCUCCCAAUGAUGCUGAGGUAUCCUUUACAGGCAAUUCUUGUGAAGCUGCCUCCCGAGCCUUGUCUCCUCGACUUUGCCUCUUAAAAGAAUUUCCUUCUCUAGUAUCAUCAAAAUUUCCUCGUCUUUUUUCUUCCAUCAAAGCUUCAUGUUGGCUCUUAGCAAUAUAUGCAUGAACUGAAAGAGACUCAACAGGAUCCUCCCAACCUGUUCUUCCUCGUUUUGUAGCUGCGGUUCUCAAUAACGCUUCUCGAGGUAAUUUCCCUUCUUGCAUUGUAGAAACGGCAGAAGCCCAAAACUCACUAGUUUCCGUACUUCCACCAAUUUCAUCAUCUACUCUAGCACCAUAACUUGCACUUUCUUGUACUACUGUUUCAUGCUCUUUUAGGUAAUCUUGAACCAAUGCUCUCAUUUUUUCCUUGCCAAAAUUGGUUUGAAGAAGAUCCUCCUUAUCUUUCAAUGCUAUCUUCCCAUCUUUCCAGCAAAUAAUUCCCUGUCGUAUCAUGUUAUUAAAUUCAUUGCAAUCUUUUCUAGUGUGUGAAGCAUCAUCACACCAAAUGUAUCUUUGUACAUAUCCUUAUUUUAAAAUAUUUUUCGAAUUGUUUAUAGAAGUAUUCUCUUCAAGUCUUGCCAAUUUGAUUUGAAGAUCUCCCAUUCCUCGUAUAAUUUCUUCCAUACCCAUAUCUUCUUUCUUUGACAAGGAUGUCGAAGGUUGAACUGUAGGCAUUGUCGGUGGUGUUGAACGUACUGGAGCUUUGGGUGCUUGUACUGUUUUCGGAAUAUUGCUCCUAUCCUUCCUCCUUUCUUUUUUUGUAAGCAACCCCACCGCAUCUUCAACGUUCUUCCACUUCGUUGUCAAUCCUUCAUCUUCUUCUUUGUCUUCAAGAAGGAGUUCUAAUUUCCCUUGCAAUUCUCUAUCAGCAGCUUGAAGAAAUAGAUCAACUUUGUUCGGCUCCAAUGUCAAUUUUUCUACCUUCGAUAAUUGAGAGUAAUGCCUCUCAAAUUCCCUUAGUAGCUCUGUUGCUUGCAAAUUCUUAUUGGGCCGUUCAAUCCAUCCCAGAAACAGCUUCUUAGAAACGCGAUCAGCAUCUUCCAAGAAAUAUUCGUCUUUCAAUGCAUGUGAAAAAUCCUCCCAUGAAUUCCCACAACGAUCCGUAAUCGAUGUAAUGUGGUCCCUUAUCUCCGGUAUCGUGGCAAGUCCAAAUAGUGCAACCAUUUUCUUCUUAGAAACCCGAUUUAAUUCCAUUUCACGAACAUAACAUCUUAAAUACCUUGAAAUAUUCCUCCCAUCAAAUUGAUCAAUUUUAUUGACCACUGCUUACAAUGCUUUGGUUGCCAAAGCUUCCUUUCGAUCAUUGCUUUGCUGUUGCUGCAUUGACAAUGAGAAGGCUUGAAACAAACUAGCAAUAGACGGAUCCAUGUGCAUACCUUGUCCUUUAGAAGACUCCCCAACAGAAACUUCUUCCAAAAAUCCUUCAAAAUUUUAAUUUUCGUUUUCCAUAAUAAAAAGAUAAAAUCAACCGAAAUCCAAUACCUUCUACCUCAAGCUUUCACGUCGGGUUCACCACUUAUGUCGUAUUACGUGCUUUCCUGCUCGAGAACGCGUCGGGCGUUUGGCUGUAGAAGGUAGUAUGGAGAUUUGCCGAUAGUCAAGCAGUCUAUCAGUUUUUGACUGCUGGAAUAUAAACGACUACAACAAUGUACCGUAUAUCUAUACAGAUGCUCUUCGACUGCUUGUCGAAGUCUUUUUUUUUUUUUUUUUUUUGCCCCAGCCGAUAGGUCUCUAGACGUUACAGAGAACCCCGAACAACCCAAACUGUUAAUCUUCAAUACCCCUUUGUACUUACGAUCUUGUAUCCACUGACUGUCCUGUUAGAUUAACCCAAUAAAUUUCAUUCACUCCGCAUAUUCAAUCCUAUAGACACCCCUUUAAUCCUUCAAUCACAGAUGUAACUCGAUUUUACAAAACAGUCAAGAGUAUUCAAACCCACUUCAUUUUAAAAUCUCGAUUCACCAUUAGAAUACUGACUUCAGCAGCGAUUGCCUCAGUCUUCCCAAAACUCUACGAAGAAGAAAAAUCCAAAUUCUAUGUCUUUCCUUCCCCGACCCGAAGCAUGAAGCUCCUCUCUCUAAUUCCCUUGAUCUUCAAAAAACCUCCAAUGAAAAUCGAACUGGUAACCUUGCAAAAGCUUGAAAACUCGCUCCCCCCCCGAUUCCCCGAAAAAAAUCAGCCCCCCCCUCAAAACUAUAUCCCNNNNNNNNNNNNNNNNNNNNNNNNNNNNNNNNNNNNNNNNNNNNNNNNNNNNNNNNNNNNNNNNNNNNNNNNNNNNNNNNNNNNNNNNNNNNNNNNNNNNCUUAUCCUCUGAAUUUCUUAAUCUUCCGUCUUAGAUCCCGAAUUGGCUCCCACCGUCAAGCUUGGAUCCGAAAUUGUCUCUCGCAGUCAAGGCUUAGAUCCAAAAUUGGCUCUCACCGUCAGAGCUUUUUCCUCCGUUUUUACCUUUAAGAAAUCCAUUUACCGAAAAUAAUGUUUCCUGAAAUGGUUUACAAAACAAGACAGCCUGAAACAGAAUCGAAACCUCGUACUCGGGUCCACAUUGAGACGCCCGACCAAUUCAGGACUCAUAUUGGAUAACAGUCCAGUAGUAAGAUCCAGAUUUUUCCGUAAUUGGAUCAAAUUGGUCCUUCGCGUCAGAUUGGCUGAGGCCCGUAGUAAGGCCUCGAUUUUUCCAUAAUUAGACUGCAUUGGAUUGCCCGGCCAAUUCAAGUCUCAUAUUGAGUAAGAAGACCUGGAUUGAAUUCUUAAAAUUGGUUCCAAUUGGCUCUUCGAACCAGGCUCACCCGUCGUGUGAAUUGGUCCUUUCUUUUCCUGUUGACUUCCGUUAUUGGAAUCGAACGGAGCAUUUCAGUAUGCCCCGGCUGACCGUAACGGGGUGACUGAACCUGGCCACUCAAUAUUUGCACUAAAGUAGGUCGUUGCUCCCAAUAUUCGAGGUAACUGAAUAUUAAUAAAAGUCCCUUUUCUUUAUAUUUUCACGGUAUACUCGUGUUACAACACGACAACGUAGUCCCUAGUUAGAUAGUAUAUAUAGAGACAAGAGUGAAGGCUUCUUCACUCUUAUCAUUUCCUAUCUUGCUUCUAGUUUAGUUUCAAGGGUCUCUAGUUUUAUUGUCUUUUGGAAAUAGCCAUUCCAGUUUCUAUUUCAAUAUAUAUAUUUGUUUAUAAAUAUUUUGUUACCUCUCUUUGAGUGAAGCCUCACUUGUCUGAAUUGUUUUUUCAUCGAGUUCUUAUCCUUGACAGAUUGACAAGAGUACACCUACAAUAUCAGAGCUUUAUCUAAUCUUGAUUAAGAGUGGAUUACCCCUUUUUCAUAAUAAGAUAUAAGCAUAUUAGAAGUUGCGGAUUACCUUCUUCUAAACUGAUAUUGUCCUUAUCAUUUUCUUUGUCCUCAAGUCCUCUCUUCUAUUUCUCUUGAGCGAUAUUAGACGUCCUCUCUCUUCUAAGUGUUAUCAUGGCAGAACUUCUCGAAAUGAAGAGUGCAAUGGCACAAAUGCAAGAAAAAUUGAGGGAAUUAAUGCUUGCGAUGCAUCAACUCAAUUUACCACUACAAGGAGCAACAAGAUUGACAAGUAGUGAAGAUAGAGAAAUGGUUGGAGUUGCUUCAAUACCUGCACCAAACCAUGUCCUUUCUCCUAUGGUGGAACACCCUUCAAAUGUUAGAGAACCAAGAAUUGCCGUACCCGAGAAGUUUGAUGGCACCAGAUCCAAGUUUCGAGGAUUUAUCAAUCAAGUGCAACUGGUGAUUGAACUUCAAUCCCAAAGCUAUCCAACUCUAGGAUCACAAAUUAGAUUCAUUGGUACGCUUCUUUCAAGUUCAGCACUAUCGUGGUUUUCAUCUUUUCUUGAACGACGAGAUCCAAUAUUGGAUAAUCUAGAGGCUUUUUUGGUGGAGUUUCGAUCCAUGUAUGGAGAGCAUGAUGCAAUUCAGGUUGCAACCAAUAAGAUCCAUAUUUUACGACAAGGCAAUCGAUUAGUAACGUUAUAUGCUUCACAAUUUUAACAACUUGCAACUGAUAUCAAGUGCGAUGAUGCUGCACUUAUUAGCCAAUUUGUAUACGGAUUACAAUAUGAGGUAAAAAAAUUAAUGCUCAACUUACUUGAUCCUCAAACAUUGAGUCAAGCAAUUGACUUUGCUGUGAAGUGUGACAAUCACUUUUUUGAAUUCCGAUCUGAGAACCAUACAAGUCGACCUCAACGUUACUAUAAUUCAAUGGCAAAACCAACAUCUCUUCAAUACAUACAUUCGGAAGUAGAGGAUAUGUAAAUUGAUGCAGUACGUUUCAAAUCUCUUACUGAGCAAGAAAAGACUCGUCAUCGUCAAGAAGGAUUAUGUUUAUAUUAUAGAGAAUCAAAGCACACUGAUCAACAUUGUCCAAAGAAACGAUGCAAUCACAAAAUGACGAGUAUGGCUAUGAAAAAAGAUAAUAUGUCGGAAAACGAGUUUGUCCAGCUACAAUAGGGACCAUUGUCAUAUUACGUACUUUUUUGCUCGAGAAUGCGUGAGGCGUUUGGCUGUAGAAGGUAGUAUGGAGAUUCGCCAAUAGUCAAGCAGUCUAUCAGUUAUUGACUGUUGGAAUAUAAACGACUAUAAGAAUAUACUGUAAAUCUAUACGGAUGCCCUUCAACUGCUCGCCGAAGUCUUUUUUGUCCCAGCCGGUAGGUCUCUAGACGUUACAGAGAACCCCGAACAACCCAAACUGCUAAUCUAUGAUACCGCUUUAUACUCACGAUCUUGUAUCCACUGACUGUCUCAUUAGAUUAAUCCAAUAAAUUUCAUUCCUUCAGCAUACUCAAUCCUAUAGACACCCUUUUAAUCCAUCAUCACAGACGUAACUCGAUUUCACAAAAUAGUCAAGAGUAAUCAAACCUACUUCAUUAAAAUUCCCGAUUCACCAUUACAAUACUGACUUCAGCAACGAUUGCCUCAGUUUUCCCAAAAUCCUAUAUAGAAUAAAAAACCCAAUUCUCUAUCUUUUUUCUCCACCCGAAGCAUGAAGCUAGCUCUCCCCGAUCCUUCACAAAAAAUCUUCCAUAAAAAAAAACCCCUCUCUCCCCCCCCCUCUUUUUUUAACCUUAAUUCUGAAUUUCUUCAAUCUUCCGUCUAGGAUCCAAAAUUGGCUCCAGACGUCAGACCUUAGAUCCAAAAUUGGCUCUUGCCAUCAAGGCUUAGAUCCGAAAUUGGCUCUCGUCGUUAGAGCUUUUUCCUCCAUUUUUAUCUUUAAGAGAUCUAUUUAUCAAAAACAACGUUCCCUGAAACGGCACAGAGAAUAGGACAGCCUGAAACAAAAUUGAAACCCCGUACUCGGGUCCACAUUGAGUUGCCCGACCAAUUCAGGUCUCAUAUUGGCUAAGAAUUCAGUAGUAAGAUCCAGAUGUUCCCGAAAUUGGAUCAAAUUAGUUCUUCACGUCAGAUUGGCUAAGGAUGUAGUAAGACCUGGAUUUUCUCGUAAUUAGACUACAUUGGGUUGCCCGACCAAUUCAGGUCUCAUAUUGGGUAAGAAGACCCAGAUUGGAUUCUUGAAAUUGGAUCCAAUUGGCUCUUUGAACCAAGCUCAUCCGUCAAGUGAAUUGGUCCUUUCUCUUCCUGCUGACUCCCGUUAUUAGAAUCGAACGGAGAAUUUCAUAUGGCCCCGGCUAACUGUAACGGGGUGACUCAACCUGGCCACUCAGUAUUUGCAUUGGAGUUGGUCGUUGCUCCCAAUAUUCGAGGUAACUGAAUAUUAAUAAAAGUCCCCUUUCUUGAUAUUUUCACGAUAUACUUGAGUUACAACACGACAUCCACCCCCUCUGAAUCUAUGCAUCCUCCAGUAUACACCAAUUUCUCCAAUUACUCGUUCGAUUCAGAAUAUAUCCUCUACGUCUUUGUCCACUUCGUCUUCGACACAUUCAUUAUCCAAAUCACUUUCAUCUUCUUGCUACGGAAUCUCUAUACCUUCAUUAAGGUCUUCCAUAUUCAUCUCCGCAUGUCUUCGUUUAAAUAUUUUUACUUGCUUCCCUGUAAUUGGUAUUUUCAAUUUUGUACCAUCUAACUCCCGUAAUGAGUAAGUCGCAUUAUCAUGAACAGUUGUUACUACAUAUGGUCCAAACCAACGUUUUAAAAUUUCUGCAAAGUACUAUGUUGAUUAUCCAGACUAUUAUUAUAAACAAGUACCUAGUCACCUUCUUCGAUUGCAUUAGGUCUCAAUCGAUGUUGCUUAUCGAAUCACACCUUAUUUUGUAACCUUCCUCUUUUUAACCUUCCCAAUGCUAUCUGGACAUCUUCCGUUCUUUGCUCCAAUUGUCCAAUCCUAAUAGCCAGAAGUUCUUCUCUUGUCAAUCCAUCUUCCCAUGGUAGCAUACACCAAGUAGGUACCUUUUCUUCAAUCGGCAUAAUUGGUUUUCGACCAAUCAUAAGUUCUACUGGCAUAUAUCCUAUCACCGAACUAUGUGUUGUUCGAUCAGCCCAUAAUGCAAAUGACAAAAGCCGUGGCCACUCUUUAACCUUCCCAUUACAAGCUUUAACUAAUAUUUUCACAAUCGGUGGGUGACCGCAUUCGCUUUUUGCAUUCCCUUCCGGAUUAUAAGCAGUAGUCAGUGAUAGUUUAACUCCACAUCUUUCAAAGAACUUACAAGCUUCUUGUGCAUUUAAUUCUCCACGAUCUGCAGUGAUUUUUCCUACGCAUCUGUAGCGGCAAAUGACAUCUUCAAGCAAAAACCUACAAAUUCCCUCUGUAGAUUUUGUCCUCAAUACUCUUCAUUCUACUUGAUUUGAUAAAUCUUCACGAGCUAAAACCAAAUAUCUCAUCUGCCAUAACCCAACCGGCAUAAUAACCAAAUCAACAACCUAUUUAAAAUGAAUAGCCAGAGGAUACGUAGGAUGAAGACCAUCUCGAUGUCGGAUAUUAGAAUACGAUUGACAGAUUUUACAUGACUCUACAAAUGAGAGUACAUCUCGAUACAUAUUUUUCCACCAAUAUCGUUCCUUGAGUUUAACAAAAGUAGCCGAGAUUCUUCUCUGCCCUGCCCAUAAACUAUCAUGAAACUCCUUUAAUAAUUUUAGUCUUUCUUCCUUUUUGCCUAUCACUCGUUAUGGCAUCCCAAUUCCUUUCUCCGGUCUCUUCCAUAAGAAUCCAUCUCGAAGUAAAAAUCCAUAUGCUUUUUUUCUUAUUUGUUUAAAUUUUUCUGUAGACCAAUUCCCUUGCUUAGUCAAGGUUUUCAAGUAAUGACCAAUAUCCAAUAAUUCUCCUUCGUAAGAUUCUUCAAGAAAUAGCUUGUCUUCUCUGUUGAGAUUUGAUAUUGAAUAGAAUUUCAAUCCGACCUCAUCAAUUUCUUCAAUCAUUUCGUCCUCCCUCUCGUAUCUUGCUCGAGAUAGCAUGUCUGCUACUAAAUUGUCCUUCCCAAUAACAUGCUUAAAUUCUGGAUUUAGUGACUUAAUAUAAGCAAUCCAUAUCAACAUUGCAAUAUCUGGCGUUGAACAGUUAGUAAUCUUUCCAAGCAAUGGCAAGCAGUCUGUUUCAAUUACUACUGCUGCCCCAAUCAAAUUGUCCUUUUCAACUUUCAUAGCCGAAACGACUCUCAAAAGUUCUCUUUUGACUUGCGAAUAUGCACGCUGACGAAUACUUAAAACUUUAGCCCUAAAUCAAACUGCAAAUCUAUUCCCAAUGGAAUCAUCUUGACCCACAGCCCAUCCAAUGGCAAUUAGACUAGCGUCUACAGUAAGAAUCACUGGUCUAUUGUACUUAUAAUCAACCUUCCUCAAUAUAGGAGGUGACAUCAAUAAUUUCUUCAAUCUUUGUAUUACCUGAAUAUGCCUUUCUUCCCAUUUAAAUCGGUAACCCUUGCGUAACAGUUCAUAUAAUGGAUCCGCUAUGUGAGCAAAAUGAAGGAUCCAGAUUCGAUAAAAUACACAUGCAUCCAAAAACCUGCGAACCUCUGUUAAAGAAUCACAAUCCUCUUUCAUCCUUCCAAUUGCAUCAACUUUAAUCGAAUCUGGUUUCUUUCCGUAAAACCCACAUAAAUGUCCAACAAUCACAACCUCUCGCACUCCAAAUACGGACUUCAUACCCGAUAAUGUAAGAUGAACUUCUCCAAGCCGAGUUAAAAUCUUUUCACAAUCUUGUAUA
rnacentral:lncRNA from 1 species